rnacentral:lncRNA from 1 species
AGUACGGACAUUGGACCGAAGUUCAAGAUGAUCAUUGCAGUCGAUAAUGCUCUUACUUCACUUGCCUUUGGGCAAGUAGGGGCAUCAGAUCGAGGUCGGUGAUGAUCUGCAUGGUGUAGCCAUCGGAGUGUCAGUGCAGGCUCUGAAUCUUGGGUACCUUCGAUGGUCAGGAGGAUUUCAUUUUGAUAGGGGUUGUGUGUGCAUGCUCCCGCACGCAUCUUUGCCUACUUGGGCAUCCUGCUUCUUUCCAAUC